rnacentral:tRNA from 2 species
GCCCGGGUGGUGUAGCCAGGUUAGCAUAGGAGCCUGUCGAGCUCCAGACCCGGGUUCAAAUCCCGGCCCGGGCGCCA